rnacentral:rRNA from 1 species
CCUACGGGUGGCUGCAGUGAGGAAUAUUGGUCAAUGGGCGCAAGCCUGAACCAGCCAAGUAGCGUGAAGGAUGACUGCCCUACGGGUUGUAAACUUCUUUUAUGAAGGAAUAAACUGAGUCACGUGUGCCUUUUUGUAUGUACUUUAUGAAUAAGGAUCGGCUAACUCCGUGCCAGCAGCCGCGGUAAUACGGAGGAUCCGGGCGUUAUCCGGAUUUAUUGGGUUUAAAGGGAGCGUAGAUGGGUUGUUAAGUCAGUUGUGAAAGUUUGCGGCUCAACCGUAAAAUUGCAAUUGAUACUGGCAGUCUUGAGGACAGGUGAGGUAGGCGGAAUUCGGGGUGUAGCGGUGAAAUGCUUAGAUAUAACGAAGAACUCCGAUUGCGAAGGCAGCUUACUAAACGGCCACUGACAUUGAUGCUCGAAAGUGUGGGUAUCAAACAGGAUUAGAUACCCUUGUGUC